rnacentral:lncRNA from 1 species
AUUUUAUUCCUUAUUUUCUGAUAGGAAUAAAGCCAAAGGGCAGAGUUAGCAUUAAGAAUGCCUGUGGAUACUGAGACAUGCAAAGCUUACAGCAAGACUCCUGUUUGAUCUCUGAUCUUCCCAACUCCAUGACUUCUCCCUCUGCCUCACUCUGCCUUCCCCCCACCCACUGCUAACCAUUUUCUUGUGCGAGGUAUGUUCACAGGAGCUGAAAAGAAGAUUGGAAGAAAAGGAAAACAAACUUCUAAAGGAAAAACUUAAAAUAUCAGAAGAAAGAAGUUUAGUCAUACAACAGGACAACAUCUUAGAGGACAUGCAGACAAAAAUAAACCACCUAGAAGAGCAGCUCCAGCACCCUGAACUAAUUGGGUUGAACUCUUUGUGGCCGUUUGGCAGGCUCUUACUGCAUCAUACUGGCCUUGUUUUAUACUAUCUGGACAUGUUUGCAACCGGACAGAAUCUUCCACUCCUACUACAAAU